rnacentral:tRNA from 1 species
GUGUGCGUAGCUCAGCUGGAUAGAGCGUCUGACUACGGAUCAGAAGGUCGCGAGUUCGAAUCUUGUCGCACACG